rnacentral:rRNA from 1 species
AAAUUGAAGAGUUUGAUCAUGGCUCAGAUUGAACGCUGGCGGCAGGCCUAACACAUGCAAGUCGAACGGUAACAGGAAGCAGCUUGCUGCUUCGCUGACGAGUGGCGGACGGGUGAGUAAUGUCUGGGAAACUGCCUGAUGGAGGGGGAUAACUACUGGAAACGGUGGCUAAUACCGCAUAACGUCGCAAGACCAAAGAGGGGGACCUUCGGGCCUCUUGCCAUCAGAUGUGCCCAGAUGGGAUUAGCUUGUUGGUGAGGUAACGGCUCACCAAGGCGACGAUCCCUAGCUGGUCUGAGAGGAUGACCAGCCACACUGGAACUGAGACACGGUCCAGACUCCUACGGGAGGCAGCAGUGGGGAAUAUUGCACAAUGGGCGCAAGCCUGAUGCAGCCAUGCCGCGUGUAUGAAGAAGGCCUUCGGGUUGUAAAGUACUUUCAGCGGGGAGGAAGGUGUUGCGGUUAAUAACCGCAGCAAUUGACGUUACCCGCAGAAGAAGCACCGGCUAACUCCGUGCCAGCAGCCGCGGUAAUACGGAG